rnacentral:rRNA from 1 species
CCUACGGGUGGCAGCAGUGGGGGAUAUUGCACAAUGGGGGGAACCCUGAUGCAGCGACGCCGCGUGGGUGAAGAAGCGCCUCGGCGCGUAAAGCCCUGUCAGCAGGGAGGAAAAUGACGGUACCUGAAGACGAAGCCCUGGCUAACUACGUGCCAACAGCCGCGGUAAUACGGAGGGGGCACGCGUUCUCCGGAUGUACUGGGAGUAAAGGGGGCGAAGACGGCGAGGCAAGCCAGGAGGGAAAGCCCGGGGCCCAACCACGGGACUGCUCUUGGAACUGCGUGGCUGGAGUGCAGGAGGGGCAGGUGGAAUUCCAGGUGUAGCGGUGAAAUGCGUAGAGAUCAGGAGGAACACCGGUGGCGAAGGCGGCCUGCUGGACUGCAACUGACGUUGAGGUGCGAAAGCGUGGGGAGCAAACAGGAUUAGAUACCCCUGUAGUC